rnacentral:lncRNA from 1 species
CUGUUGGGUCUGAGGGGGUGGUGCCGUCGGAAAGGUCUUGCUUGGUCUCCUCUCUAGCGGGCGGAGAGUUCCAAUGGUCCAGAUUGCCUGGGCAUCCCUGACCCCUCCGGACCACUUCCCUAGAGGGCAUCCUGUGCCCGACUGCUGGGCUGGCAUUUGCAGAGUACAGAUCUAGGCUGUCUGGAUUAUACUACACAUGAAGAGCCUACUGUUUGCAAAAAUUGACUUUUCUUUCCCGCGGCCACGCUGCAAAGGAUGGAGCUCCAGCAGCGAAGCAGCAGUCACUGGUCUAGCUGAAGAGGAAGGAGCCAGGCUCCUGCUUCGUAACCGAGGCAUCUAGCAUCCAGCCAAAGAACUUUUUUGCCUCUGACUAAGGAGCCACUGGUUAUCGGAGCCGGCUCAAUUGAAUACCCAUUCGGAUGAAAGAGUGAAGUAUAAAAUAACAAGGUAGCACAAAAAGCUGGGAAGAGGGACUCGAUGAGAUCACGUAGACGCCCCCAGGAUCAGAUCCUAAAUGCCGUCUUCUGAAGAGCGAUAUUGCUACAGGCUUGGACCAGGGAGUGACCUGCAGGUGGAACUCUGAAUAUGCUGCCUCUUCUAGAAGGCCUGCUCAGCGUGUCACCUCUUUAUGUCUUCUAAGGAGAGAAUCCAUUGGUAGAGGAGGGAGGGCUAUGUGAGCCGGGAUCUUCAAACACCAGCAUCACAUCCAGAGAGGCCAGAGGGUCCCAAGACAAAACAAGCCGGGGCCAAGACGCACUCAGAGCUCCUAUCUCACCCUCUUAGGGGUGUGCUCGGGGCACCAGAUGGGUUAUUAAAUGUUAUUCUCUUUCUCCCUUUUUGGUUAAGCAGAGGACUGCAGAGGAAAGCCUCUGAAUCAAAUGUUUGCUCCACACAGUUCAACUGAAAUGUAGGUUGUGAUGAGUGGACACGUGCUCCACAGCUAAGAGACCAACCGAGGGCAUCCUAUCCCACUCGUGGGUCUAAGGGGAGACUUACAGAAGGCAUACUUACUCUGAAGAUGGAAUGAUAGCUGAAGAGACAGAGUGAUGCCUAGGGCCUGUCAGACACCCAGUUUAGCCUAAUACAGAAAAGCACGGAGGUGAGAAACAACAGGGUGAAUCCAAGGAAAUUCAACAGGAGCAUGUGAGAGGCAGGAGCCAGGGAGAGUUAGACAUGGCCCGAAACAAGUUCUCCCCUCCACCCUGAGGAAUUCUGGUGCUUCAGCACUGGCUCCUGAAGAAUUGGGGAAACUUCCCAGAAGGUUGUCAGCCUCUCUCCGGCAGGAGCUUUACAGAGGUCUGUGGACACUUCAGAGCACCCACACGGGCCAGAGAAGUAACUGGUCACGAGGCUUCCCCCAGGGGGACUUCCUCACUCAAGCGACACAUUAAACUCUGAGUCAAUGAAUGCCAGAGGUUAGGGGUAAAGAUGACAGCACUUCACCUCAAGCUACCUCCUAGUUUUCAUAAAGUUUGGAAUUGAAGCUGACGAGAUGUAGACUCACCGUAAAGAGCUGGAAGCAGCAAGCAUAUCUGUGGCCCAUGAAAAGGGAGAGGGGGACCAGGAGGGCAUGGGCUGGAGAAGGACGAGGUUGUGUCCAGAGGAAUGGAGCAAUUAAACUUUAAACUAUUCUUUUCAUAA